GAGAGUAAAGCAGGGGAUUAUUCCCCUUCUUAAAGAUGAGACUUUUCUCAGCUUAACCGAACCGAAAAGUCCCGCUGCUCUCUGUUGCUCUCUCGGUCCCGCCAUGGAAGCCGCUCUUCUGAGCUCGCAACGCUUCCAUCCCAAGCUUUCACCCGAAAAAUCUCGAGGUGCAGUUUCAGGUAGUGAAAUUCAAAUUUGUUGUUUGCCCCUUGUUAGGAAUAGCUAUGUUUCACUUAGGACAAACCCUAGAAAUUUCAUGUUUCCAAACAGUCCCUUAUUGUCCAGAUUGAACAGAAGAGUCUCUGUUAAGUUCUCGAAACAGUUCGUGAAUGAUUAUACAAAUGUUGAGGCUACACCUCCAGAGUCUCUAAAUGUUGAAGUUAAUCCGUUGAGUGGGAGUGACAGGACGGAAAUUUCAAAACAGAACGCGGUUGAGAAUGCAAAGGCGGAGCAGGCGGGAUCUAUGACGUUUAGAAACCGGUUUCUGAAUUUCGUGCGCCUGAGUUCAGUGGUUAAUAAUGCUGCUGAAUCGUUCUUCAAGAGCGAGAUUAGGAGAAGGCUGUUUGUGACAGCAGUGCUAAUUGUGAUUAGUCGUGUCGGUUAUUUCAUUCCUCUGCCUGGAUUUGAUAGAAGGUUGAUCCCUCAAGAUUACCUAAGCUUUGUAUCGGGAUCUGUUGAUGAACUCGGUGAUUUUGCAGCAGAGCUUAAAAUGUCUUUCUGUCAGCUUGGAAUCAGUCCUCAAAUCAUAGCGUCGAUCAUCAUGCAGGUGCUCUGUCAUGUUGUUCCCUCCCUGGUAAAGCUGCGGAAGGAAGGCUUAGAUGGUCAUGAGAAGAUUAAGAGUUAUAUAUGGUGGCUGUCUUUCGGCUUUGCAAUAGUGGAAGCUAUCAUACUUGCUUGUUAUUCACUUCCAUAUUCAAUCUAUGCAGCUAGCUACAGGGUCAAGCAUGUGAUGGUGACAAGUAUGUUAUUGGUCUGUGGAGCAAUGACAAUGACGUGGAUUUGUGAUACCAUCUCAGAAUCUGGAUUUGGUCAAGGUUCAUCUCUAAUUAUUUGUGUACAAAUAUUGAUUGGCUACACAGAGACAUUAUACAAAAUGCUGUCUCAGCUCUCAGGAAGUUCUGUUAGUUGGGGCCCAUAUUUAUUUGCAGUAUUGGGCGUUUUCACUAUAGUCACUAUGUGGGCAGUUGUGGUGACUGAAGGGUGCAGGAAGAUAAAGCUGCAGUACUAUGGUUUUAAGCUUGCUUCUGCUGCAAGAGAUGACUCACCUAUUACCGAAGUGGAGCCCUAUAUCCCUUUUACCAUUAACCCAUCAGGAAUGCAGCCUGUUCUCACCACUACUUAUCUCUUGGCAUUUCCCAGCAUUCUUGCAAGUAUUCUUGGUUCACCUUUCUGGGAGCAUGUUAAGGAGAUAUUGAACCCCGAAAAUACUAUUGGUGCAGGGCCUUGGGUGUACUACUCAAUAUAUGCGUUUUUUGUGUUCUUAUUCAAUAUAUUUGACAUUGCCAACUUGCCCAAGGAAAUUGCUGAUUACUUGAAUAAGAUGGGUGCCAGGAUACCAAACAUAAAACCUGGGAAGGCUACAAUUGAGUACCUUACAAAGAUUCAGGCAUCGACACGUUUCUGGGGGGGGCUAUUGUUAAGUAUCUUGGCAACAACAUCAAGCAUAAUCGACCAUUAUUUACGCAAUAUCAAUGCGGGAUUUGCAAUCGGGUUGACAUCAGUCCUAAUAAUAGUGGGUUCUAUUAUUGAACUUAGAAGAUCAUAUCAGGCAUAUAAUGUAAUGCCAAGUUUAAGUAAAGCCUUAAGCCGGUAUGGUGCAUAACUCCCAAAUAGGCUGUGCCUUCUCGUCUUCAGGUGAUGGUGCUCCUUCGCUCAAAAACCGAUAAAAGAACUUCUGCGGAGAAGAAACCAGAAACGAUUAUGGCAUCGCAAUAUGCUGUAAAGGGUACGAAGUCUCGUGGCUUAGAGUAGUAUGUGAUGCUUCAUUCAUUGUCUACGAAGCGAAGACUCAUUGCCGGCAUGGUUUCCGUAUCAAAUGGAAAAGCAUCGAUGGCGGGGUUUUGUUCAGUGCACUGUAAACCAACCACGGUUUGUAUCGACGAUAUAAGACACCCUAUGUUUUGUAUAUAUAGACACCCAUCUAUUAUCUAUAUUAAGACGUUUAAGACUGAA